rnacentral:lncRNA from 1 species
AACAAGGAGGCUCCAAUCGAUUAUGGCUCCUUGCCUUUGUAUCAUUCUUCACCAUCGCUUUCCUUCUUACACUAAUCUACACGAGAGAGACUUUACCUAUAAAAACCAUCACCACCACCAUGGCCACUGGCUCCGCUUCUAGCUCCACCUUUGGCAAUAAUGCUCCACUGCCAACAACAGUAAUCAAUACUCUCCUCCACUAUGCCUCGAGAUCCAAUGACAGUUUCCAUAUGUCCCAUGCCGAAAUCAAGCCAAUAUCUGAUGUACUUAGAAAGUGUUCAUCUCCUUGUAACUUUCUUGUUUUUGGUCUAACACACGAGACACCUCUUUGGAAAGCUCUUAACCACAACGGCCGCACCGUUUUCAUCGAAGAAAACCGCUACUACGCAGCUUAUUAUGAAGAGUUGCAUCCUGAAAUUGAUGUCUUUGAUGUCCAAUACACAACCAAGAUGAAAGAAAUGAGAGAGCUUAUUGCCUCCACCAAGGAGCAAAUAAAAAAUGAAUGCAGGCCAGUGCAGAAUUUACUCUUCUCAGAGUGUAAGCUUGGGAUUAAUGACUUGCCUAAUCAUGUUUACGAGGUUGACUGGGAUGUGAUAUUGAUCGAUGGGCCUAGAGGGGAUGGACCAGAGGGGCCGGGGAGGAUGACACCAAUCUUCACAUCUGGUGUGCUAGCUAGGAGCAAGAAGGCUAGCAAUGCUAAGACUCACAUAUUCGUGCAUGAUUAC